GACGAACGCUGGCGGCGUGCUUAACACAUGCAAGUCGAACGGUGAAGGGAGCUUGCUCCUGGAUCAGUGGCGAACGGGUGAGUAACACGUGAGCAACCUACCCCUGACACUGGGAUAACAGCUGGAAACAGCUGCUAAUACCGGAUACGACCCCGGCAGGCAUCUGCCGGGGUGGAAAGCUCCGACGGUCAGGGAUGGGCUCGCGGCCCAUCAGCUUGUUGGGGGGGUAACGGCCCACCAAGGCGACGACGGGUAGCCGGCCUGGGAGGGCGACCGGCCACACUGGGACUGAGAUACGGCCCAGACUCCUACGGGAGGCAGCAGUGGGGAAUAUUGCGCAAUGGGCGAAAGCCUGACGCAGCAACGCCGCGUGCGGGAUGAAGGCCUUCGGGUUGUAAACCGCUUUCAGCAGGGACGAAGGGUUUCUGACGGUACCUGCGGAAGAAGCACCGGCUAACUACGUGCCAGCAGCCGCCGUAACAC
rnacentral:rRNA from 1 species